rnacentral:rRNA from 1 species
AUUGAACGCUGGCGGCAGGCCUAACACAUGCAAGUCGAGCGGAUGAAGGGAGCUUGCUCCUGGAUUCAGCGGCGGACGGGUGAGUAAUGCCCAGGAAUAUACCCGGUAGAGGGGGAUAACGUACGGAAGCGGGAGCUAAUACCGCACACGUCCAGAGGUAGAACGGGGGGGAUCAUCGGACAUAACGCUAUUAGAUGAGCCUAGGUCGGAUUAGCUAGUUGGUGGGGUAACGGCCUACCAAGGCGACGAUCCGUAACUGGUCUGAGAGGAUGAUCAGUCACACUGGAACUGAGACACGGUCCAGACUCCUACGGGAGGCAGCAGUGGGGAAUAUUGGACAAUGGGCGAAAGCCUGAUCCAGCCAUGCCGCGUGUGUGAAGAAGGUCUUCGGAUUGUAAAGCUCUGUAAGUUGGGAGGAAGGGCAGUAAGUGUAUACCUUGCUGUUUUGACGUUACCUACAGAAUAAGCACCGGCUAACUUCGUG